CAGGAGGAAGCCCUGAUUUGUUCCAUCUCAUCUGGGCACAUCUGGUCUGGUCACCUGGGGAUUUAUGUUUUGGUGCUGGCCUGAGCAAAUCACCCUGCCUUGCCCCUCACCUACCUCCCACGAUAUCCAGGUGGAAUCAGGUUAAAGAGAAUAUCAAGGGCAGCCUUGAAGGGAAGAGGAUGAGCCAAAGAAAGCCGGAGAGGGCUGCGUAAAAGUAGAAGGAGUGGCGGCAGGGCUGGUUUGUAGGCUGAGAACACAAGGAGGUCAGGCUGCUUUUAGCACCAGCUUACAGAGUUAAACUGGAAGUUGUCAGAGAAGCCAAAGAAGAGGCCAGAGAGCACGCCACUUAUUCCUUUGUAUCCCUCAUCACCUACCGUGGUGCCUUAGCCAGGGUUUAUCCUUUGUGGACACGAAGUAGACGAACUACAAAUUGGAUGACUGAUGAAAAGUCCUGGUCCAGCUCUGCCCCACUGGAAGCCACACUGUAG
rnacentral:lncRNA from 1 species